GACGAACGCUGGCGGCGUGCCUAAUACAUGCAAGUAGAACGCACAGUUUAUACCGUAGCUUGCUACACCAUAGACUGUGAGUUGCGAACGGGUGAGUAACGCGUAGGUAACCUGCCUGGUAGCGGGGGAUAACUAUUGGAAACGAUAGCUAAUACCGCAUAAUAUUAAUUAUUGCAUGAUAAUUAAUUGAAAGGUGCAAUUGCACCACUACCAGAUGGACCUGCGUUGUAUUAGCUAGUAGGUGAGGUAACGGCUCACCUAGGCGACGAUACAUAGCCGACCUGAGAGGGGGAUCGGCCACACUGGGACUGAGACACGGCCCAGACUCCUACGGGAGGCAGCAGUAGGGAAUCUUCGGCAAUGGACGAAAGUCUGACCGAGCAACGCCGCGUGAGUGAAGAAGGUUUUCGGAUCGUAAAGCUCGGUUGUAAGAGAAGAACGGGUGUGAGAGUGGAAAGUUCACACUGUGACGGUAUCUUACCAGAAAGGGACGGCUAACUACGUG
rnacentral:rRNA from 1 species